CCUACGGGCGGCAGCAGUGAGGAAUAUUGGUCCAUGGGCGUAAGCCUGAACCAGCCAAGUCGCGUGAGGGAUGAAGGUUCUAUGGAUCGUCAACCUCUUUUAUAAGGGACUAAAGUUCGGGACGUGUCCCGUUUUGUAUUUACCUUAUGAAUAAGGAUCGGCUACCUCCGUGCCAGCAGCCGCGGUAAUACGGCGGAUCCGAGCGUUAUCCGGAUUUAUUGGGUUUAAAGGGUGCGUAGGCGGCCUUUUAAGUCAGCGGUGAAAGUCUGUGGCUCAACCAUAGAAUUGCCGUUGAAACUGGGAGGCUUGAGUAUGUUUGAGGCAGGCGGAAUGCGGGGGGUAGCGGUGAAAUGCUUAGAUAUAACGCAGAACCCGGAUUGCGAAGGCAGCCUGCCAAGCCAUGACUGACGCUGAUGCACGAAAGCGUGGGGAUCAAACAGGAGUAGAUACCCGUGUAGUC
rnacentral:rRNA from 1 species